rnacentral:rRNA from 1 species
UACGGGGGGGGCAAGCGUUGUUCGGAAUUACUGGGCGUAAAGGGCUCGUAGGCGGCCAACUAAGUCAGACGUGAAAUCCCUCGGCUUAACCGGGGAACUGCGUCUGAUACUGGAUGGCUUGAGUUUGGGAGAGGGAUGCGGAAUUCCCGGUGUAGUGGUGAAAUGCGUAGAUAUCGGGAGGAACACCAGUGGCGAAGGCGACUUCCUGGCCCGUUCUUGACGCUGAGGCGCGAAAGCUAGGGGAGCAAACGGG